UAGAUAGUUAUCUCUCAGGCGGAUGGCGUAUGAGCCGGCUGAGAACGUUCUGUGGAAUUCUGAGAAUGGAGACAGUGAUGCAGGGAAGGACUCUGGCUGUCGCUGUUUUCCCACUUGUCUCUUGCUGCCCUCCACUAGCAGUCUACCAAGGGGACCUCCUAAAGGACGGGAGCCCAGGAGGCUGCAAAGACUACAGAAGACCAGAGGAUGUGGGAGAGGCGUGUUCGCUGGCUUGGACUAAGUGAAUUAAGACGGUAGCUGCAGGCCAGGGAUCUCAUCCCUGACUGUACAGCAGGCUCGCCCAGGCACCUCAGAAACAAGAAGGCCCUCAGGAGAACAGGUGGCCCUAAGUCCCAAGAGAGGACUCCCAGGUGGCAGGGUUUCAAAAACUGUCUUCAGAAAGAAGCCUGAAUAUGCUGAGCAAUGCUGGAUACCUUCAAAGAAGAUGUGAAAUGAAAAUAUACAGCUCCUGAAUAGGAGGACAGUUCACUCAUCAAAAGGAAACGAACUCAGAACUCCUAUAAACAAACGUUAACUUGAUACACAUCCACGCAUAUUAGUGUGAUUUUUUUAACAAUUUGGUGUUGGUAUAAAUAAAAUGUCUAUGUUGGAGUUA